CACGAUGUGUUAUACAAGGAAAAAUUGAGAAAAAUUUAAAUGCCUGCAUAUUUGAAUGAUUAUUCACCAUGCAGACAUUAUUUGUUUACGAAUGAUUUUAAUUAAACGUACUGCGGGAUUUAACUGGGAUAUGCCGAUACUUGUCUCAGGGUGUAGAAUGUAGCGAGAGUUGUGCAAUCUACAUUUUCAGUCCAAGUCAUGUCAGUCAAAUCUCCAGUUGAAAGGCUAUAGCUAUCAGCUGCGAGUUGUCCGCAUAAAAGUUGGAAAGUUUGAUAAUGGAAACCAAAGACAAAGCUGAAUAUUGGACAGAAACAGGGCAGUAGAUGCUUCCAAUUAAAUGCCUCAGUAAAUUGAUUGUCUCCUAAGCUGCAGAAUUAAUGUACAGGGACAAGAGGUUUGUUUUAAAUACUUUUAUCAGUUGAUUUUUAAUGACAUAAAAAUAAUACAUGCGGUCUAAUAAAUUUGUGACGGUGAACUGUCUGCGCCAGUUCAUGUAGGUAAAGAAAUAAAUUUACCUCUCUUGUGUUUAAUUCAUAAACGGCUUUCUUAGAUUUUUGAUAAUAACAUGCAGGAAGAUCGGCUGAUGACAUAAUUAUUUAUGGGUAUUUUCAUGCCGCAAUAGCCUAUAAGUAACUCUACAUAUAGCUGGCAUGGCAGAAUGCUUCAUUUCUACAACUCGUAAGCCCUAUUAUUAAAAAUAUUUCGCGAAUGGCUAAUAAAGUUGACGCGUUUGCAACAUAGAGUUUCCGCCAUACUUUAUAUCAAUGCCAAUCUAUUCAUGUGACAAUAAAAUCAAUAUUAUUGUAAAUACUUUUAAUUUAAGGACUAUUAUACUUGACGGAAUAAACGUCCUGCAUGUCUAUAAAUGAGGAAAAGAUCACAAGUGUAAAAAAUCAAUAGCCAUGUAUUACUCGUAAUUCUGGAUAAUAAUUGUUUUUACUUAUAAUUUAAUAUACAUAUAUAGACCUAUAAUAUAAUAUAAGAUAAUAUAAAGCAAAUUCAGGGCCUUAUAAUUUUCGGUGAUUGAUUGAUGUCAGUGAUGAUUAAUUUAUUUAAGGUCAUAUAUAAUGAAUAAGGUCGCGAAAUAAAACUUACUAGCUUAAUUGCCCAAGUAUAUAUCGUAUAUCGAUUACAGGAAGUAAAUAUGAAUCUCUGGGAAACAUUAAUCACAUUGUUGCAUCUACUAUAACAUUAGUGCAAUUCUACAUGCAUCUUUUGGUACUCGUCAUGUUUUAUAGGAAUACGGCUUGGAUACGACAAAUUAUAUCCAGAUAUGUCCUUGUCCAAAUCAAAAUCAUUUCUAUCCAAUAAUACUGUCUAAUCAAACUUAAAAGAGUUACUCAGCUUCUAACCACUUCCACGCAGCUUUUGACAGCAUUGCUGAUUAUAAGAAAAUGUAAUUAAUAAGCAAGCUAGGACGGCGGAACGAUGUGAAGGCAAGGGGGGCAGAUUUUCGUAAAAGGGCACUUUUGAAUUGAUAUAUACUAAGAGAUGUUUGCAAAACAUCUCCAAUUGAAUAUGGCCUAAUCAUGUUUUCUAUUUAUUGGAUGAUAGUGGUGCGAGGGGGUUCUCCGCCAGGCGAUUGCGCUAUUCUUGAAGCUCGAUGACUGCACUUUCUUGCGUUUUCAGAAGCAAAUUCGUAAAAGAAUUGCACUAUCAUUUCUGACAAUUCGCUAUUUCGCCAAGGCAAUCCUUUAAAUUAAAAGGGCACCUUUGCCCACCUUGCCCCUACUUACUAUAUAUUGAUUAAAAACUAUAUGUAAAUAUGAACAACAAAACUACAUGGGCGACAUUUAUGACCCUUGGGUACUAUAUGCUUCAUUCUCUAUGCAUGAUUCCUUUUAGCAUUAAAAUCCAUUGGAAGAUUUUUUGAUAUUGAAAAAUUAACCAGCAAGAUCUCAUGUUAAAACUCACUGCAGUACUAACAUGAUCUAACUGUAUAAAACUAUAUCCCAUGAAUGUCAUACUGGUUCCCAGGCCUCUGUUACUAACGCAGCUUACUUUCAUUUCUUUUACUGACCCGGGGUCCUGGGGAAUACAAUAUAAUUCAACGGUGGUUUGCUGCAAAAUGUGUGAAUAUCGACGAUUUAUUCUAGCCGUGAACGAAAUUAUGAAUGCUAUUUCCAUCUAUUUUCGAAGAAUAGGAGUGAGUACGAAGAAAAUUAAACAUAUAUAAAACACAUUGGAAAGUGCAAUUCAUACGCAACUUUAUAUCUUGAUCCAAUUAUGUUUGUGGGCAUCACACUAUUGCAUCAAAACGUCAAUUUCGUUUAAUAGAUAAAUAUUGUUUCACUUUUUCAGCUAAUCAAUUGGCCAGAGCAAGUUGAAGAAGAACCUGAAGAGUAUAAGUAA
rnacentral:lncRNA from 1 species